AUAAUACUGCACGUUUGUAACGUCAUUUUUCAUUGGAUAAUCGUGACGUUUAUAUAGUUUUAUAUACACGGCUGCUGUCGAUUCAUGAAAGAAUGUUACUUUUAUUCUCUAAAAAUGAUGCUUGCUGUAUUAUAAAUUCGUUAUAAAGAUUGUUGACAGGUUAUAUGGCCGUAUAUAAACGGCUGUUUGCAAUAUAACCCUCGCCUAACGGCUCGGGUUAUAUUUACAAACAGCCGUUUAUAUAGGGCCAUAUAACCUGUCAACGAUCUUUAUAACUAAUAAUAUAAACGUCACGAUUAUCCAAUGAAAAUUGACGUGACAAACGUGCAUUAUUAUUAAAACCUAUAAACGAGAUGAUUAUCCAAUGAAGAAUGACGUUACAAACUUGCAGCAUUAUAAUGACGUCAGAACCGGAAGUUUUACAGUUAACGUCGUUUCCAAGCGAUUUUUGAUUGUAACGACAAGAGGUAAUUUCGCAAUCAUUACCAAAAAUAUAGUUGAAUUAUUGGCAAAUUAAUCAAUAAGUCUACCUUAAAGAAGGUGAACAGGAAUCUUAGAAGAAUUGUCAAUUUACUGCGGUUUCAGCUAAAGCCGAACUCAAAGAUUGCGAACCCUCGAGGAAAUAUGAGCAGACGACAUCACAAAAUGGCGCGAAUCUCUCGCAGACGACAGCAAAAUUUUCCGCGAAAACUACUUGGUGCUUCUUUAUUUUAUUCGCUCAUGCUCGGUAUUGGAAUGGUGCAGUCAAAAUCUCUCCUAUGCAACUUGCAUAGAAGUGUUUUAACCGACAUGGCGCCCAAUGAAUUCUGGAUGAUUUUUGGAACACUUUCAUUCCUUUUCUGGCUAAUGAACUGUAUGCUAGUGGAGUUUUCUUCACGUAUAUUUUGCUCAGACCACCAAAUCAAAAAAUCGCGGUCACUUUUUUACCCAAAUUAUUUAGAGCCCAAAUUUACAAGAUCUGGAUUAGUAUAUGGUUAUAUGUAAAGUUUUCUAAUAAAAUAACUUAUUGAA